rnacentral:lncRNA from 1 species
AUAUUUCUGCUGAUAAAAAUACCGCAUGUGCUUCACAUGAUUUUUAUAUUUAAAAGCUUUGUGUUUUUCUUUCUAGGGAACAGGAUUCUCUGGUUAAGACCUGAAAACACAGAGUGUGUUCCCAAGUUACAUGCAAGUUUUGCUGCAUACCUUCAUUAUGAUCAGCACUGGCACUUGAGUGAUGCGCUGCUGAGAAACCGAUUUGCUCUUCCAAGCUCUUCCAUCUUGCUGGGGCUUGUGGCUGCACAUUCAUACCUCCUCUCGUACUGUGGCCUUCCUAAUCACUGUGAUCAAGCAAUGAACACCACCCUUACUUUGGACUGCAGAGGAAAGGGAGAAUUUGAGAGCUGAUGUAGAUCACAAAGCCAGCCCUCACUCGUGGUUUCAUGCUACGCAGGGCUUGUGUGUGCUCUGGCAGCUCUGGGAACCUUGCUGGGAGCACGGGGCCAUGACAGACGGCUGCUGCUGGAGCACAUGGAAAGGGGAACUGGAAGCAGAUGACCAGGGAAGUCUUGCUGCACCACAUAUUCCUUUAAUCACAGACUGCGAUGAAACUUUGAGUCUCCACACAUUUAUCAUCAAUCUGUUGAACCUUCAGAAAAGAUGAUGUGCAUUAAAGCACCUGCACACUUUGCACAAGCGUGCACAGAGGGGAGAGCCCAAAAGCCAAGGCCCUUUAAGUCAGGCCGCUUCCUUAUUGAAAUGCUUCUUCUAAUUUAUUCUUCAUGCUGUAACGUACAGAAAAACUCAAGAAUCCAGAGUGUUUCCUGCUGUGUGGGAACAGAGGGCCUGACUUCAGUGUCAGAAAUCAGUAUUGAGGCACAUUAGAUUCAUCUGCAGUAGAGAACUGAGUGUUGUGGUCUGCAGAACAUUUAUGCAGGGACUGUAAGUGAUGCAUCACAGUGUGAGAAGAGUUCCUACUCAGUGCAGCUUUAUGGCUCAAGCUGCUUUUGGUGAAAAGUUUCCCUGUGCAGUCCCAGUGAGCUGCUCCUGGCUGUAUCAGAGCGGCUGAAAUGACUGAUGCUUUUUGGCAGUGUUAUCCUUCCAGCUCCCCACACACCGCAUGGCAGAGACGAUGCACCAAGAAGGGCAUGUGUAAGUUCAAUCCUUGUAAGAUGUUAGCACCACUGUCACCCUCUCCACAACCUGUUCUCAAGUGAAGAAAACUACUAUUUAAUGCUAUUUUAAGCUGCAUUUUCGUUGGUUUCCAUCUCCUUUCCACUUCAAAGCUGAAUUAUAUAUGAGCUUUUCUGAAUAGUUUUAGACACGGGAACGUAGAGCUGUCUUUUAAAUGCUUAUGUGGAUACAGAGAAAGAAGUCAUAUGAUCAGUGACAGCCAUGUAACCAGCAU